rnacentral:lncRNA from 1 species
GGUAAAAUUAGCCAUCUCAUAUUCCAAUUGGAAACGUCGAGCCGUAUUGUCCUGCUUGUAAAUCUUGCUCAAGUAAUUUCACAUAUCAACAGCUGUUUUAUACGAUCUCAGAUUAAGUACAAUGUGAGGCUCAACCGAGCUAAGAAUCCAUGUCAUAACCCGAGCAUCCUUUAUUUCCCACUUAGAUAAAGCAUCGACAUCUGUAGGGACAGGAUCACUUCCAUCGAUAUGACCCCAUAACUCCUUUCCUUUGACAAAUAAUUGAAAUUGAAACUCCCAAGCAGAAUAAUUCUUUCCAGUAAAACGAAUGUGAAACGAAUCCGAAGACAUGAUGAAAUAAAU